GAUGAACGCUAGCGGCAGGCCUAACACAUGCAAGUCGAGGGGUAUAGUCUAGCUUGCUAGACUAGAGACCGGCGCACGGGUGCGUAACGCGUAUGCAAUCUACCUUGUACAAAGGGAUAGCCCAGAGAAAUUUGGAUUAAUACCUUAUAGUAUGUAAAAGUGGCAUCACUUUUACAUUAAAGAUUUAUCGGUACAAGAUGAGCAUGCGUCCCAUUAGCUAGUUGGUAUGGUAACGGCAUACCAAGGCAACGAUGGGUAGGGGUCCUGAGAGGGAGAUCCCCCACACUGGUACUGAGACACGGACCAG
rnacentral:rRNA from 1 species